rnacentral:rRNA from 1 species
GCCAUCCUUGGGAUACCACCCUUGUAGUACUGGGACUCUAACCAUAGGCCAUGAAUCUGGUCUUGGGACACUGUCAGGUGGGCAGUUUGACUGGGGCGGUCGCCUCCCAAAAGGUAACGGAGGCGCUCAAAGGUUCUCUCAGUACGGUCGGAAAUCGUACGUAGAGUGUAAAGGCAAAAGAGAGCUUGGUGGCAAGAAAUACAGGUCGAGCAAGGAUGAAAAUCGGACUUAGUGAUCCGGUGGUGCUGCGUUGAAGGGCCAUCGCUCAACGGAUAAAAGCUACCCUGGGGAUAACAGGCUUAUCUCCCCCAAGAGUCCACAUCGACGGGGAGGUUUGGCACCUCGAUGGCGGCUCAUCACAUCCUGGGGCUGUAGUAGGUCCCAAGGGUUGGGCUGUUCGCCCAUUAAAGUGGUACGCGAGCUGGGUUCAGAACGUCGUGA